GUACUUGUUUCAUCAGCACAUAUGCUAACAUUGGAAUGAUACAGAAAUUAGCAUGGCUCCUGCUCAGAGAUGACAUGUAAAUUAAUGAAGCAUUGCAUAUUUUU